GCCUGCGUGGCGCAAUGGUUAGCGCGUCAGACUUCUACUCUGAAGAUAUCUGAGGGUUGCGGGUUCGAGUCCCGCCGUGGGUA